rnacentral:tRNA from 1 species
ACCUUUUUAACGCAGUAGGCAGCGCGUCAGUCUCAUAAUCUGAAGGUCCUGAGUUCAAUCCUCAGAGAGGGCA